AAGAGAGACGGACCCAAGCCAGUUCAGGAGGAGCCGCAGAGAUACGAGGUGUGCUUAGGGGACGUGAUUCGGUGCCAGGCCCUGCCACACACCUUCGGGCGCCCCGCCCCCUGGACCGCCACCCACCCGCGGGCGCUGGAAAGCGUUGAACUUCCAACGUCUGGAGGUGAGAAGCGGGACCACGCGGGGAAAACGGCUGAGGCCAGGACGGUUGAAAGGAGAGGGAGAGAGGCUGAUGCACAGAGGGGUCGCUGGCUGAAAUGGGCUUUGGGGACAGGGAAGCAGCAGAAAGGAGAGGAGGAGGGGCCCUCACCAGGGACAGGAAAAACACGUAUUGCUGUGGAGUCCAGAAGUAGCUGCCUGGACUAUUCCUCAAACUGCGGUCUGAGUGGAUCUUCUAAACACUGAAUCAGGACUUCUUUUUCCCAGUAAGGUGGACUAGGUUAUUUGGAUCAACUCUCUGACUGAAAACAACUUGAGAGAGAAAAACUGGACAAAACAUAAGAAACAUUUUCUUAAGGUCAACGAAGGGAUGACAAAACAAUAAGGAAUUAUCAAGCCCAAAGUGAGUGGUAAGAAGGCACGGGAACCCACUUUUGCCUUGAAGGCACUCAUACAUUCCCCAAAUUAGACAGUUUUGACUGCACUGUGAGUCCCACUGUACAAAAAUCAAAGGCAGCGAUGGGCAAAGUAAGGAGUCUAAUAGGAGACUGUGGUCAACAGGUUCUAAGGUAUCUCCCACCCCACCCCCAAGUGUAGGGAAAGGGACUUCUGCCUUUAAUCUUAACAAUAGAAUAUGGCAAAGUGAUGGAAUAUCAUUUCCAUGAUUAUUAUGAAAGUAUCCGUCUUGAGACAUGGACUUCUGUAGACAAGUGGAAGGGGACUUAGGGCAGCUUCUAGCAAGAAACUAAAGCUGCAGAUUCAAAAAACCCUGUGAAUCCCAACAAAAAGGGAAUCAAUAUCUAGAGUCAUUGUAAUCAAACUAGGAAAAGCUUAAAAGCUGCUAGAUAAAAGGAUAGACUAUGUUUUAAGAAAGGUGCUUUGUAUAUAGGAGACACUUAAUAAAUAUUUGUGAAAUGAAUACA
rnacentral:lncRNA from 12 species